rnacentral:misc_RNA from 1 species
CGAACUGCGAUAAGUAAUGUGAAUUGCAGAAUUCAGUGAAUCAUCGAGUCUUUGAACGCACAUUGCGCCCCCUGGCAUUCCGGGGGGCAUGCCUGUCCGAGCGUCAUUGCUGCCCAUCAAGCCCGGCUUGUGUGUUGGGUCGUCGUCCCCCCCGGGGGACGGGCCCGAAAGGCAGCGGCGGCACCGUGUCCGGUCCUCGAGCGUAUGGGGCUUUGUCACCCGCUCGACUAGGGCCGGCCGGGCGCCAGCCGACGUCUCCAACCAUUUUUCUUCAGGUUGACCUCGGAUCAGGUAGGGAUACCCGCUGAACUUAAGC